GAAAUGCGAUAAGUAAUGUGAAUUGCAGAAUUCAGUGAAUCAUCGAAUCUUUGAACGCACAUUGCGCCCGCCAGAAUUCUGGCGGGCAUGCCUGUUCGAGCGUCAUUUCAACCCUCGAGCUCCCCUUUCGGGGGGAGCCCGGCGUUGGGGACCCGGCGCUAACAACGCCGGCCCCGAAAUGGAGUGGCGGCCCGUCCGCGGCGACCUCUGCGUAGUAACAACCACUCGCACCGGGACCCGGGCGCGGCCACGCCGUAAAACACCCCACCUUCCGAAUGUUGACCUCGAAUCAGGUAGGAAUACCCGCUGAACUUAAGCA
rnacentral:misc_RNA from 1 species